ACCCGCUGACUUAAGCAUAUCAAUAAGCGGAGGAAAAGAAACCAACAGGGAUUGCCUUAGUAGCGGCGAGUGAAGCGGCAAGAGCUCAAAUUUGAAAUCUGGUACCUUUGGUGCCCGAGUUGUAAUUUGAAGAUCACAAUCUUGAAAUUGGUCCUUGUCUAUGUUCCUUGGAACAGGACGUCACAGAGGGUGAGAAUCCCGUGCGAUGAGGAUACCUUUUUCAUUUAAGAUGUGUUCGACGAGUCGAGUUGUUUGGGAAUGCAGCUCAAAGUGGGUGGUAAAUUCCAUCUAAAGCUAAAUAUUGGCGAGAGACCGAUAGCGAACAAGUACAGUGAUGGAAAGAUGAAAAGAACUUUGAAAAGAGAGUGAAAAAGUACGUGAAAUUGUUGAAAGGGAAGGGUAUUUAAUCAGACUUGGUAUUUAGCUAUCUCUUCUCCUUGUGGGAGGGGCUCUAGCUUUUUACUGGGCCAGCAUCAGUUUUGGUGGUGAGAUAAUCGCAGUUGAAUGUGGCUCCUCGGAGUGUUAUAGCUUCUGUUGAUGUUACCUACUGGGACUGAGGUCUGCGGCUUUGCCUAGGAUGCUGGCGUAAUGAUUAAACACCGCCCGUCUUG
rnacentral:rRNA from 1 species